rnacentral:tRNA from 1 species
GGAGGGGUGGCAGAGUGGUCUAUCGCGGCGGUCUUGAAAACCGCUUUGGGUUAACGCCCAACGGGGGUUCGAAUCCCUCCCCCUCCGCCA